AAUAGAUACCCCGGUAGUCCACGCCGUAAACGAUGAGUGCUAAGUGUUAGGGGGUUUCCGCCCCUUAGUGCUGCAGCUAACGCAUUAAGCACUCCGCCUGGGGAGUACGGUCGCAAGACUGAAACUCAAAGGAAUUGACGGGGGCCCGCACAAGCGGUGGAGCAUGUGGUUUAAUUCGAAGCAACGCGAAGAACCUUACCAGGUCUUGACAUCCCGCUGACCGGUCUAGAGAUAGACUUUUCCCUUCGGGGACAGCGGUGACAGGUGGUGCAUGGUUGUCGUCAGCUCGUGUCGUGAGAUGUUGGGUUAAGUCCCGCAACGAGCGCAACCCUUGAUCUUAGUUGCCAGCAUUCAGUUGGGCACUCUAAGGUGACUGCCGGUGAUAAACCGGAGGAAGGUGGGGAUGACGUCAAAUCAUCAUGCCCCUUAUGACCUGGGCUACACACGUGCUACAAUGGACGGUACAGAGGGUCGCAACCCCGCGAGGGUGAGCUAAUCCCAUAAAAACCGUUCUCAGUUCGGAUUGUAGCUGCAACUCGCCUAA
rnacentral:rRNA from 1 species